rnacentral:lncRNA from 1 species
AUUGCAAUGAGGAAUGGAGGUUUUUGGAGUUUGUUUUCAUUUGUUUUGGCUUACAUGGCACAUUGGAAGAAGCACCUUAAGUAUCUUUCAUUUACACUUUGGUUUGAAGCAUUUUUUUUUGCAAUUCCACUUGUAGUUCACGUAAAUUGAGUAUUGGUGUGUGGUUCACUUUUUUGCUGCAUGGAGAAGUGAUGGGAAGGUUUUCAAUUGGUUGUUUAAAACAUAUUUUAAUUUCUUUUGAGACAUGGUGCACAUGGGGACAAAAAGACAACACAUUUGGUGGCUCAUUAAAGGUUAAAAAUUUAUUUGGUCUUGGUGGAGAGUAGUGCACGACCAUGUGCUUUUCUUUGGCCAAUUGAACUUUUAAAUUCCUUUGUUAAUUGUCAUUUAGUCAAGUAAUUUGUUAGGAUUAAAUUAGGCUUGUUGGUUUCCUUGGUUUUUAAUUAGUUUAGUUGCUAGGUUGAGUUUAAUGUGUUUGAAUUAGUGUGACGUUUAAUUAAUUUUAACUGUGUUUGUUAAUUUGUUUGCAAGAGUUUUUGAUGUUUGAAUGUUGUCUAAGGUUUUUAAUAGUGUUAGUUUAAUUACCAUGCUAGCUUAAAUUAGUUUGUUUGCAUCUGUGUCUUUAUAAUGAGUUCUUUAAUUUUUGCAAAAACCUUUUCAAACCCCCCCUUCGUGUUAGACUCGAUUCUCGAACNGCAAAAUUGGUCUUUGGGAGACGACCUAGG